GAUGAAGAACGUAGCGAAAUGCGAUAAGUAAUGUGAAUUGCAGAAUUCAGUGAAUCAUCGAAUCUUUGAACGCACAUUGCGCCCGCCAGCACUCUGGCGGGCAUGCCUGUCCGAGCGUCAUUUCAACCCUCGCGCCGUCCCUCCAGGGGGCUCGGCGCGGUGUUGGGGGACACGGCCCCGGCCGCCCCCGAAAUGCAGUGGUGACCCCGCCGCGGCCCCUCCAGCGCAGUAAGCACGCUCGCUACGGGAGGCCCGGUGGACGCGUCCGCCGUAAAACGCCCAACUCUUCAGAAGUUGACCUCGGAUCAGGUAGGGAUACCCGCUGAACUUAAGCAUAUCAAUAAGCGGAGGA
rnacentral:misc_RNA from 1 species